AAGGCCUGAUUUCAGCCUAUCUCAAGAAAUGUGAAAUCACAAAUGCACAAAAUGUUUAUGCUAUUUUUGUAUUCAUAAUGAAGAAGUUGUCAAAUUGAUAGUUCUGUACUUCUUCUUAUAAUAAACUGCUUGUUUUAUAGGUCCUGGAAGCUGAAUCAGAUGAAUCUCUGCUAAAUAUAAUUUUUCAAAACAGCGGGAUGUUCCAAACUGCUGGUUGCUUCAGAAGUGUGAAGACUUUUGAGAAGAAAACUUUUGUAGAGGAGUAUCUCAGAUGGUACAUCCUUGACAGAAACCACAGUGCCAUUCAACGAUUCAAAGAUGGACUGGCAAGUCUAGGUUUUUUCUCUGCACUGCAACAGCAUUCCAGUGUCCUGUCCCCAGUCCUAUGUUUCUCUGCCAAGGCCCUGACUGCUUCAGACUUGGAGACCAUGUUCAAACCAGAUCUCAGCCCAGUAGGAACCAAUAGGCGGCAAAAGGAGGGCAAAACUAUCGUCUUCUGGGCAGAUUAUUUGCUUGAUUGCGAAGAGAAAAACACUGCUGUAUCUCUAGAGGAAGUCCUGAUGUUUGCUACAGGUCUGACAGCGAUUCCACCAGCAGGCAUGAUGCCAUCCCCACAUCUUGAGUUUUUGAGUGAUUCACCCUUUCCUGUUGCAAACACCUGUGCAAAUACACUGAAACUGCCACUUUUGGAAUCUUACGCUGCUUUUAGGGCUAACAUGGACUUUGGAAUACAAAAUGCUCUGGGAUUUGGAUGCUACUGAAACUGAAAGAAGAGAUUUCUUGGCAGUCUUGUUCUAAUGCUGUUGGCAUUCAGCUAAUUUUGUGAUGGUUGCUCCAUGGGUCCAUGUUGUUCUCCAUUUCUGGGUGGCAAAGCCUUGCCAUAAUUUCUGAAAAGAUUAGAUAAUAUGAUGUCCUUUUCAAAGUGAUAGCUUUGAAAGGGACAUCAGCUCCUGAAGUCAACAAUCCGUUAGGGCAAAUUCUGUAUUUUUUUUUAGAGCGGUGUAUGUCUGGUUUAGGCUCACGGUCCGGGCAUUUGUAAUAUGUCCAUAAUAUAGUUUUUUGUAUCAUCUUAAAAGGGGAUACACCCGGCUUUCAUUUAAGCCAAGUUUUGAAUCUGACCAACUCAGGUCACCAGAGUUUGUUAAAACAAAAUAACAUGAAUCCUUUUCGCCUAACCAAGAAACAUUGUUUGUAAUCCAAUGGUAUCCAGGGACACAAGAGUUGACAACUGAAAUACUCAGACUAAGAAAUCCUGAAAUGUACCAAAUCUAUACUACCAUGCAGUCAUGUUUUUAUGUGGUUAUUAUGGAUUAUAUAAUGGUAGGCUAAUCUAAAAAACAGUAUAUGGUAUACAUUUCCAGAUUUCUUAGUCUGAGUAUUUCAGUUGUCAACUCUUGUGUCCCUGGAUACCACUAGACUAAAAACAAUGUUUCUUGGUAAGGCAAAAAGAGUUUGUGUUAUUUCUGUUUAACAAGCUGUGGUGACCUCUGAGUUGGUCAGAUUCGAAGCUUGGCUUAAAUGAAAGCCGAGUGUAUUCCCUUUUAAAAUGAUACAAAAUUUUAUAUUGUAGAGCUUUGACAAAUGCCCGUAUCGUGAGCCUAAACCAGAUAUA